GAAGAAUGUAUAGUAUUAACUAAUUGCAUUAAAUGCAAGAUCGGAAAUAACGAAUAAAAUUCUGGGUAAAUUAUGAUAGUGACAUUUUUUAUUUAUAAGUCUUGACCAAAUUACGUGCCAGCAGUCGCGGUAAUACGUAGAAGACUAGUGUUAUUCAUAUUUAAUGGGUUUAAAGGGUACUUAGACGGUAGGUUAAGCCUAAGGGUACUAUACUACUAGAGUUAUUUAAGAAGGGGCUUUAAAGUACUGGUGGUGUAGAGAUAAAAUUUUAUAAUACCAUUUCUUGAAAAAAAAUAAUGGCACAGGUAACGGCGAAAGCGUCCCCUUAUCUAAUAGCUUUAAAUCACAAAUAGGAUUAGAUACCCUAGUAGUUGAAGCAGUAAAUUAUGAAUGCCAUAGGUUACUUUAUCCUAUAAACGAAAGUGUAAGCAUUCCACCUCAAGAGUAAUUUGGCAACAUAGGAACUGAAAUCAUUAGACCGUUUCUGAAACCAGUAGUGGAGUAUGUUGUUUAAUUCGAUAAUCCACGAAAAACCUUACCAUGAAUGUUCACAAGCGUUGCACGGCUGUCUUCAGUUAAUGUCGUGAGACUUUGGUUAGAUCCAUUUAAUUAACGUAAACCCUUGCUUUAUUUUUUUAUAAAGUAGUUCACCAUUACAUCGGUAAGGAUAAAAGGGACCAAGACAAGUCAUCAUGGCCUGAAUGUUGUAAAUCAUAACAAUAAGAUGUAAAAUUGUGAAAUUUAACUAAUC
rnacentral:rRNA from 1 species